AAUUGAUAGAGUUCUAGAACACCCAGAUCACCAAAGUAUAAGACCCAGUCUUCUCAAAGGUCAAAAUGAAGUUUCAGACAACGUUCUCCAUAAUUGAGCCCUGCAGCUACCACAGGGGAAAAGUUGUCUUUCCACAAAACUGGGUUGCUGGACAAGGUGGAGAAGGAAGAGAUUAUUCCUGGAUCAAAUGAGACCAGAGUGAGUGAAGUCCUCAGCCUUGAUGGGCAUCAUUCAGCUCCUAGACAAUCAAAAGGGAAUAGAUGAAGAAAACAUGGCGGGAAAUGACAAAGGAAGACGUGCAAACAGAAACAGGGCAAGAGUGAGGAAGCAGCAUGGGGGAAGGAGAAGGAGAGAAAGCCAAAUGAAAUGUUUGGAGUCUCCUUGUGAAGCCAAUCGGAGGCCAGAAUUCCACCGAGUGCAUCUUGAACUUGAAGCACAUCUAUUUUAACUCAUGUGAUUUACUUGAUGUGGGUGACAGACCGAAACAGGAACAAUCAUCGUGUGUCAAGCUGUCCAUUCGCCAUGUCUUCACAGCCCUGUCCACUGUUUUUGUUUGCCAUCCUAACCAGCCUGUGCCCUUGACCAGUCAACACGAGACUGGAAAAUCUUUUACACACUGAACCAUUGCCUCAAAUCUCCAGGUUUUCUGUGGCUGUACUGAACCUUGGUCACCAUGCAUGCUAGAUCUUACAAAAUCACCAAGGAUCCAGGAAGAAAGGAGCCUUAGCUUUCAGUCUGCCUUCAUUUACGAUCAAGCUAUCAGAUUCCUUACGGCAAUGCAAAAAGAGACAAACAAAACAGAGACACAGUCUGCGCAUCCACAGGCUUCCACAGUCUGUGCAUCCACAGGUUUCCACAGUCUGCUCAUUCACAGGCUUCCACAGUCUGCUCAUCCACAGGCUUCCACCGUCUGCCAUCUUCCCUGGCCAGCCACAACAAAAGAAGCACUCUAUGCAUGUGUUAGAAGAGCCCAAGUCAUCUAUGGUUUAUAAAUCAGAAGUCUGGGAGACUUCUCUUAUGAAA